rnacentral:rRNA from 1 species
UACGAAGGGGGCUAGCGUUGCUCGGAAUCACUGGGCGUAAAGCGCACGUAGGCGGAUUGCUAAGUCAGGGGUGAAAUCCUGGAGCUCAACUCCAGAACUGCCUUUGAUACUGGCGAUCUUGAGUCCGGAAGAGGUGAGUGGAACUCCGAGUGUAGAGGUGAAAUUCGUAGAUAUUCGGAAGAACACCAGUGGCGAAGGCGGCUCACUGGUCCGGUACUGACGCUGAGGAGCGAAAGCGUGGGGAGCGAACAGG